AACGAACGCUGGCGGCAGGCCUAACACAUGCAAGUCGAGCGAGGACUUCGGUCCUAGCGGCGGACGGGUGAGUAACGCGUGGGAACGUGCCCUUUGCUUCGGAAUAGCCCUGGGAAACUGGGAGUAAUACCGGAUGAGCCCUUUGGGGGAAAGAUUUAUCGGCGAAGGAUCGGCCCGCGUUGGAUUAGGUAGUUGGUGGGGUAAUGGCCUACCAAGCCGACGAUCCAUAGCUGGUUUGAGAGGAUGAUCAGCCACACUGGGACUGAGACACGGCCCAGACUCCUACGGGAGGCAGCAGUGGGGAAUCUUAGACAAUGGGGGAAACCCUGAUCUAGCCAUGCCGCGUGAGCGAUGAAGGCCUUAGGGUUGUAAAGCUCUUUCAGCUGGGAAGAUAAUGACGGUACCGGCAGAAGAAGCCCCGGCUAGCUCCGUG
rnacentral:rRNA from 1 species